rnacentral:rRNA from 1 species
GACGAACGCUGGCGGCGUGCUUAACACAUGCAAGUCGAACGGAAAGGCCCUGCUUUUGUGGGGUGCUCGAGUGGCGAACGGGUGAGUAACACGUGAGUAACCUGCCCUUGACUUUGGGAUAACUUCAGGAAACUGGGGCUAAUACCGGAUAGGAGCUCCUGCUGCAUGGUGGGGGUUGGAAAGUUUCGGCGGUUGGGGAUGGACUCGCGGCUUAUCAGCUUGUUGGUGGGGUAGUGGCUUACCAAGGCUUUGUCGGGUAGCCGGCCUGAGAGGGUGACCGGCCACAUUGGGACAGAGAUACGGGCCGGAGUCCUGCGGGAGGCAGCAGUGUGGAAGAAUGCACAAUGGGCGGAAGCCUGAUGCAGCAACGCCGCGUGCUGGAUGACGGCCUUCGUGUUGUAAACCGCUUUCGCCUGUGACGAAGCGUGAGUGACGGUAAUGUGUAAAGAAGCACCGGCUAACUACGUG